CCUCCGAUCUAACGGAAACCAGGCCCCACUCGGAGCUCGGGGCGGCCGGCAGGCGCAGUGAGGACGGAGCAGACAGGCCAGACGUGCUGGGCCCCCCAGAAGCCUUGUGGGACUGAAGGGCCCGAACAGAGGGAAGCCCACCCCCACCCCACAGCCGGCCGCAGACCCGCCCUGUGCCCUUCCCAUCACCCAGGGGGCAGCUAAGCCUCUGAUUUCUGGAAUGAGGGGGCCCGAGAGGGCCGGGCCGGGCAAGGCAGGGACUGGCCUCGGGCAUUGCCUCCUCCUCACCCCAAUCCUCAUCAGCUUUUCCUGGAGGAGGCUGCGGGCCUCCGGGCUCAAGCCCUGACGGUCCCCUCAAGGCUGACCGGGGCCCCAUGUGGGCUGAGGCCCCCACCCUCGUGAUCCAGGGCGCCAGGCGGGCUAGAGUCUCCCAGGAUUUCAGAGCCGGGGGCCCUCCUACAACACCCAGCCCUGCUCCUGCCUGCCAGCCCCACGCAUGGCUCUCCUGGGUAGCCGGGCAGCCCCGACUCCCGCUCCAGAGGCCCUUUCCUUCCAGUUUAGCAGAGAACCCCCGCGCCCCCUCCAGAUGGCCCUCCGUGCUCUGCAGAGCUGCUCCAUUCGCCCCUCAGAGUCCCAGACCUCCCCUGGGAAGCGUUUUCCUGGUUGUCCCUCUCCUGGGCCUCCUUUCACACCUCAGCACCCCAGGGCUUCGGGCCAGCGCCCCACCUGGACCCCGAGCUGCCCGGGGAGCUCCCCCACCAGAGGAACCUGCUCCCUCCCUCCCUGGGCUCCUCUUCCGGGCCCCAUGGCCCCACGCCCCUCCGCCCCUCCACAAGCUCACCUCCUGGCUCCUGCUCCUCCUCCUCUCGUUGGCCUAUGCCCACUAAUCGCAAAGGGAAAAACGGUGACUUUCAGGGAGGAGUGAGGCCGGCAGCCCCCUUCUACCAAGUGAGUGAUGGGAGUUAACAUUGUCAAUGGUGGGGGGGGGUGGCAGGAAAAUGCGGUGGUCCUCUGGGAGGAUGCACCGAGCGGGGCGCAGCAUCCCUUCAGGGCUGCAGAUGCAGGACCUGAGCCCAAUUGUGAAGAGACCACAUAAGCUCAAGUCAAGAUGCAUUUUACAAAAAAAAAACUGGUCUGUACCUGCCGAAAAUGGCAAUGUCACGAAAGACCAAGAAACACCGAAGGAAAGCACUUUCCCCGACUGGUAGAAAGCCAAGAGGGAAGACAAUGAAAUGCGAUACAGCGGCCAGGAUGCUCUCUGAUUAUCAAGGAUAUUAUUGGGGAAAUCGGCAAAACAGGAUGCAGGUCUGCGGCUGGUUACAAAUACGGCACCAAGGCUAAUCUCCUGACGGCGGUCGCUGCUCAUCUGGUUAUAGGAGAGGAGGCCCCUGCUCCCUUGUUCCGAGGAAAGAGAGGAGUGUGGACGGAGGAAGGAGCGUCGUGUCCGCAGCUCACCCUGGAACAGCUCGGGAGAGGUGAUGUAUAUACAUAGAAAAGAAUUUAGUAUCUGGCGAAAUAUUGACGUUGGGGAAAUCUAGGUGAAGAGAGUGGGAAAUAUUUGUAACGGUCUCCUUACUUUUCUGUAUGUCUGAAAUAUGUCAAAAAGCUGAAAGAAAAGUGCUAGUGUCUCAGAGUUCAGUCCUGGGCCUUCCUGUCAUUUUAUUUAUUUUUUUUAAGAUUUUAUUUAUUUAUUCAUGAUAGACAUAGAGAGAGAGAGGCAGAGACACAGGCAGAGGGAGAAGCAGGCUCCAUGCAGGGAGCCCGACGUGGGACUCGAUCCUGGGACCCCGGGAUCACACCCUGGGGGGAAGGUAGGUGCUACACCACUGAGCCACCCAGGAUCCCCUUCUGUCAUUGUAACCCGCCCUCCUGCCACCAGGGCAGUUGGCCUGCGGGUUCUUUCAGUCCAGGUGAGUCUACUCCAGCGAUGCCCAGACAGAUGUGCCCCUGGCCCAGGCCCGCGCCGGGGCUCGCAGCCCACCUAUCCCGUGUCCUACACGGGGCCACUGGCUCUCUCACAAGCACCCAAAAUCAACACACCCAGAGCUUUUCUCCCGAGAUGUCACCUGCCCCCCAUCUACCUCAAUGAAUGACGCCACCAGCCGUCCACAAGCCCCAGCUGGAAACCUGAAAACUCGUCACCAACAUCUCCCUCAUCCUUACUCUGCAUAUCCAGUCACCCCAUCACUCUGGGGAGCCUGGGAGCUCCCAAGGCUGGGCCCUGCCUCUUAGUCUUGUGUCCCCAGGGCCCAGCAGAGCGCCUGACAUAUAUGGUGAGUACUUAAGAAGUAUUUGUUGCGGGCUGCCUGGGUGGCUCAGCCGGUUAAGUGUCUGACUCUUGAUUUCAGUUCCGGUCAUGAUCUCAAGGUCCUGGAACCAAGCCCCGCAUCGGGCUCCAGGCUCAGUGUGCCGUCUGCUUGUCCCUUUUCCCUCUGCCCCUCUACCUACUUGCUCUCUCUCUCUCUCUCUCAAAUAAAUCUUUAAAAAAAGAAAGAAUGUUUGUUGAA
ensembl:lncRNA